UACGUAGGGACCGAGCGUUGUCCGGAAUCAUUGGGCGUAAAGAGCGUGUAGGCGGCCACUUAAGUCCUGCGUGAAAUCUUGCGGCUCAACCGCAAGCGGUCGUGGGAAACUGGGUGGCUAGAGUGCGGGAGAGGAGAGUGGAAUUCCUGGUGUAGCGGUGGAAUGCGCAGAUAUCAGGAAGGACACCAAUUGCGAAGGCAGCUCGCUGGGACGUUACUGACGCUGAGACGCGAAAGCGUGGGGAGCAAACAGG
rnacentral:rRNA from 1 species